GGCUUCGUAGUUGAGUGGUAAGGACACUUGCCUCUCACCCUAAAGUCCCGGGUUUGGUCCCCGUCGAGGAGCUA